rnacentral:rRNA from 1 species
UGAACGCUGGCGGUAGGCCUAACACAUGCAAGUCGAACGGCAGCACAGUAAGAGCUUGCUCUUACGGGUGGCGAGUGGCGGACGGGUGAGGAAUACAUCGGAAUCUACUUUUUCGUGGGGGAUAACGUAGGGAAACUUACGCUAAUACCGCAUACGACCUACGGGUGAAAGCAGGGGAUCUUCGGACCUUGCGCGAUUGAAUGAGCCGAUGUCGGAUUAGCUAGUUGGUGGGGUAAAGGCCCACCAAGGCGACGAUCCGUAGCUGGUCUGAGAGGAUGAUCAGCCACACUGGAACUGAGACACGGUCCAGACUCCUACGGGAGGCAGCAGUGGGGAAUAUUGGACAAUGGGCGCAAGCCUGAUCCAGCCAUACCGCGUGGGUGAAGAAGGCCUUCGGGUUGUAAAGCCCUUUUGUUGGGAAAGAAAAGCAGCAGGUUAAUACCCCGCUGUUCUGACGGUACCCAAAGAAUAAGCACCGGCUAACUUCGUG